GUUGUUAGAUACUGGGUUUUGAAAUAAUAAAAUUGUGCGCUUUUAAGACUAGAUAAAUAUAGCAAUACGCAUUACGCAGCACAUUAUACAGCAGCAUAAUUUAUACGCUGUAGCCGUAGGCUGUAGUAGUGACAUUGACAUUUUAUAAAUAGCAUUAACACCAUUUGUCAAAUUUCUAAGUUUCUAACUAAAUCUAAAAUUAACCGGUUAGCCGGUUGAUCCAAGAUAAUUGAGCUAUUUUCAAUUAGCCAUUUUAUGGAACUAAGAGAAAUAAACUAGCCAAUUAUAUAAAUAUGACUACAGCUGUGGAGACCCGGCCUGCAGACUGCACUGCUUGCAGGAUAUUUAGCUCGAUUGGCCUUGUUGGUAUUGGAGGAUAUCUAGCUAAUGCUGCUUUCAAAAAUAAAACACUUCCUGGGAAAAUAGUUGUAUCAACUUUUUCUUUUGCAUUUGUAACCCUCGGAGUACAAAGAUAUAAGCAGCAAUAUCCUUUCAACAAGCAUGUUGAAAAGUCAUAACAAUAUGUUCAAUUUAAAUAUAAGGAGAAUAGGUUUUUGUAAACUAAGUUAUGUAUACAAUUGUUAAAAUGCUAUAAAAUAUAAACCUAAAAUAAAAUCUUCCUUACCACAAAUUGUCAGUUAAUUUGCAAUAUAAAAGUAAUAUAGUACAUAACCUUGUAGUAUCACAACGCUAAUCUUAUGAGCAGAGUCUUUAGAAACAAUUUAAGGGAAACCCUCUGACUUUGGCAAUUCCUAAGGGAGUCCAAUUAUAAAAGAAGAAGAAGAAGAAGUAUUAUAUGCAAAUUCUAUUAAAACUAAAAGAUAAUGGCUAAUUUCAUGUCCACCUCUAUAAAAAAAGCUUUUAUAUCCACUGUACUGUCUUCGAGUAGGUAUUUGGAUCCAGCAAAAUAUGUCCUAGUUGUUUUUCACAGCUCUCACAUCCGUAGUGUCUUUUUUGUGUCUUCUAUUAUAUUACAGAUAAGAUCUUAUAUUACAGAUAGUUUAUAAAUUCAAAGGAGUCUGCAUCUCGCCAUUUAAUAAAUAACUUCAAAUUCAUAACUUUUUGUUAUAUUAAUGGAGUAACACGUAUUUUGUGAAGGUUUUGAACACUGCUGUUACUAUUCCAGAGUCACAACCCUGUAACAGAAAGAACAGUUGUCAUAUGGAUUAAUUUGUAAUUAAUUUUAUUGCCAAAAAAAAUGUAAUAAAUAUAAGUAUCCCAUUCAAUAAUAUAAACUGACUAUCAAAUUAAUAUGAGACAUACUAAUUACAUAAUAUAACCUUUUAUAGUACAUCACUAAGAAUAUUUUGUGCUAAGAAUUGCCAAAAAAAAAUUGAGAUUGAAAUGAUAAACAUUCAAAUAUUAACUAACAAGUUUGCAUUUAUCAAUGUUAAUAUUGGAGACUGUAUAUAUAUAAUAUGUAUAAAUAUUGUUGAAUAUUUGUUGUAGAUUAUUAGUUAAAUUAUGUAUUCAAUAAAUUUUUAUUUAUUUUAAACUAAAA
rnacentral:misc_RNA from 1 species